rnacentral:rRNA from 1 species
GACGAACGCUGGCGGCGUGCUUAACACAUGCAAGUCGAACGAUGAAGAAAAGAAUCGAAGCUUCGGCAGAAAUUCAUUUCGGAUUAGUGGCCGACGGGUGAGUAACGCGUGAUCAACCUACCUCUUACAAAGGGAUAGCCUCGGGAAACCGGGAUUAAUACCAUAUAACAUUGCGAGGAAGCAUUUCGAUGCAAUCAAAGCUACGGCGGUAAGAGAUGGGCUCGCGUCCCAUUUACCGGAUGGUGAGGUAACGGCACACCAUAGUGACGAUGGGUACCCGGCGUGAGAGAGUGAACGGUCACACUGGAACUGAGACACGGUCCAGACUCCUACGGGAGGCAGCAGUGGGGAAUAUUGCAGAGUGGAGGGAACGCAGAUGCAGCGAGGCCGCGUGAAUGAUGAAGGAAUUCGUGACGUAAAACUCUGUUCUAUAGGAAGAAAAGGACUGUACCAUAGGAGAAAGCUCCGGCUAAAUACGUG